rnacentral:rRNA from 1 species
AUUGAACGCUGGCGGCAGGCCUAACACAUGCAAGUCGAGCGGUAGAGAGGUGCUUGCACCUCUUGAGAGCGGCGGACGGGUGAGUAAUGCCUAGGAAUCUGCCUGGUAGUGGGGGAUAACGCUCGGAAACGGACGCUAAUACCGCAUACGCCCUACGGGAGAAAGCAGGGGACUUUCGGGCCUUGCGCUAUCAGAUGAGCCUAGGUCGGAUUAGCUAGUUGGUGAGGUAAUGGCUCACCAAGGCGACGAUCCGUAACUGGUCUGAGAGGAUGAUCAGUCACACUGGAACUGAGACACGGUCCAGACUCCUACGGGAGGCAGCAGUGGGGAAUAUUGGACAAUGGGCGAAAGCCUGAUCCAGCCAUGCCGCGUGUGUGAAGAAGGUCUUCGGAUUGUAAAGCACUUUAAGUUGGGAGGAAGGGUCGUUACCUAAUACGUGACGAUUUUGACGUUACCGACAGAAUAAGCACCGGCUAACUCUGUGCCAGCCGCCGCAGUAACAC